GCGCCCGUAGCUCAACUGGAUAGAGUGGCAGACUUCGAAUCUGUAGGUUGAAGGUUCAAAUCCUUCCGGGCGUG
rnacentral:tRNA from 1 species